UACAGAGGUCCCAAGCGUUACUGAGAAUCACUGGGUUUAAAGGGUGCGUAGGUGGUCCGUUAAGUCCGUUGUGAAAUCCCUGGGCUCAACCCAGGAACUGCUUCGGAUACUGGCGGACUUGAGGCCAGUAGAGGUCACUGGAACUGACGGUGGAGCGGUGAAAUGCGUAGAUAUCGUCAGGAACGCCGGUGGUGAAGACGGGUGACUGGGCUGGUUCUGACACUGAGGCACGAAAGCGUGGGGAG
rnacentral:rRNA from 1 species